UCAGGAUUACGCAGGCAUACCUGGAAAGGAACUGGGCUUGGAGGAUGGUUGCACCUGAAAAAGAAAUCAGUCAGUUAGUGAACAAUGGCUAUAUGUGUCUUGGUCUGGCUUUGGUGUCGGGGCAUUUCCAGUCUCAUAAAAUGACUUUGCGUAACACAUGGAAACUAAUGGUGUUCUACAAUUGCUGAAGCAAGUGUAACACUAAAGAAGCCUUAUGGAAAGAUUCCUGUGGCUGACCCAGGAGUAGUGGUGAAUUUCUCCAUCAAAAUGGACUCUCACUCAAAAUGCUGGUCACUGCAAGAAGCAAAGAUUGGAAUCAUUUUCAGAGAAGUAAGAAUUUCAAAGUGUCCUAAAUAUGUGAGCAGAGUGAAAUAAACCUUUUUUAUGAGAAAGAUAUUAAUUCCUAAAUGAAAAUAAAGAGAGAAAGAACCAUAACAAAACCAGUAUUUAUUGUGCACUUUGUAUAUAUAGGCUAGACACUUCUAAAUGCUUGGUAUAUUAACUUUAUUAACUAGUUAAAUCCUCCCAACACUACGAAAUUGAUGUUACUAUUAUUUUCACUUUAUAGAUGAGGAAACUGUGGCAUGAAGAGGUUAAGUAACUUGAAGGAGGCAUAAGCAAGAAGGUAAUGGAGGCCAGAAAUUUUUUUUUCUUUUUUUCUUUUUUUUUUUUUUGAGAUGGGGGUCUCCUCUAUCACUCAGGCUGGAGUGUAUGGCACGAUCAUGGUUCACUGCAGCCUCAGUCUCUCUGGCUCAAGCAAUCCUCCCACCUCAGCCUCCCAAGUAGCUGAGACUACAGGCACACAUCACCACACCUGGAUAAUUUUUCCAUUUUUGUAGAAGCUAGAAUUUAACAAAGGCAGUUUAACUCCACAAACAGUGACUUUUACUGAUGAUGCAAUAUUGGUAAUUUUGGAGUCUGUUGUUGUUGUUUCUCUUUUGUAUUUAUUGUUGAGAUAGGGCAGAACUACCUGCAGUGUUGCCCCAGAAGUAAAUCAUCCUCUUUGAAGUGUGAUUUUGAGAAAACAUCAGAGAUAAUGAUUUUGAGGAAAGUAACCUAAACACUACUCAAUCAAAUGUCUAUAAUACUACUACUGGGAAUUUAUAUCUUAGUAUGUCAAACUUGUGUCAUCUACAAAUCUACUAAUGAACUGUAAAUAAUAUCUCCAGAAAAGGUGACAGAAUAAGUCAUAUCAACUUUUGUCUACCAAUUUUGAACAAAUAGAAGCCAAAGUUGGAGGAGGUAAAUAUGGAGUGAAUAAAUUCACAAAUGAAAGAGUAUUUGCCUGCUAUAAAGGGACUUUACCAAUAGCACAGUUUGUUCAGUAGCCAAUAGUCUCCAUAAUAUGGGCAAGUGCAAGAUGCCAUGGUGACAGCUAAGCCUUAUCUUCGUGAUGACACAGGAAAUUGGCUACUCAGAUACUGCCUUUAAUUAUUCAACAGUGACUUAGUGAUCCUAUAAAGUACAAACCUUUGUGGUGAGUUCCUUGCUGAACUUAUACUCCUAUACAAAAAGAUCACAGUCCCAUCUUUAACUAUUGUCUUCAUCUGUUUAUGCUACUAUAACAAGAGACUUGAGACUGGGUAAUCUAUUUUUUAAAAAAUAGAAGUUUAUUUCUCACAGAUCCGGAGGGUGGGAAGUGCAAGAUAAAGGUGCCAGCGGGUUCAGUGUCUGGUGAAGUCUUGUUCCUUACAGAUGGUGCCAAGUAGGUGUCCUCACAUAGCAGAAGGGAUUUAAAGAAAUGGCAAACUCCUUCCAUCAAGCCCAUUUAGAAGAGCAUCUAAUCCCAUUCAUGAGAGCAAAACCUACAUGACCCAAUCACCUCCUAAAGGCCACACCACUUAGAACUGUUACAUUGGGGAUUAAGUUCAAACAUGAAUUUUAAAGGGGAUAAAAACAUUCUAACCAUAGCACUCUUCCCCUGGAUCCCCAAAUUAGUUUAAUUAAUUAAUUGGAUGAAUUAAUCCAAAAUUAAUUAAUGAGUCCAAAGUCUCAUCUGCACACCAUCUAAAUCAGUUAUGGGUGAGACUCAAAGCUUUGUGUCAUUCACCACAAGGCAAAUUGCUAUCUAGCUGAGAGCCUGUUAAAUCAAGCAAGUUGUGUGCUUCCAAAAUACAAUAGAGGGACAGGCAUAGGAUAGCCAUUUCCAUUCCCAAAAGGAGAAAUUGGAAAAAGAAAUCAGUAAUAGAUCCCUAUAAAGUUCAAAACUCAACAGGGCAAACAUUAAAUCUCAAAGUUUGAGAAUAAUCUUUUUUAACUCCAUGUCCCAUCUUCUGGGUUGGAUACCCACAUCCCUAGGGGGUCCCAUCCCCAGGACUUUGCUAGGAACAGCCCAUGCCACAGCUCAUACUGGUUGGAGUCUUGCACCUUCAGCUCUCCCAGGCUGGAGUUGCUGACUGGUGGCUCUACAGUUCUGAAGUCUUGGGAGAGGCCCUUCCCCCACAGCUCCACUAAGCAUUGCCCUACUAACAGCUCUCUGUGGCAUCUUUGGAACCUAGGUGAAGGUAGCCAUGCCUGCCCAGCUCUUGCACUCUGUGAGCAUGCAGAGUCAGCACUAGGUGAACACCACCAUAAUUUAUGGCCUCUAUACCCCUGGGCCCACUUAAGCCACAACUUGGGCAGCCAAGGAGCCCUGUACCAGACUGCAGGGAGCAGAGACUUAAGACAGUCCUGGGCAUUGAGCUCUGAGGUUCUACAAACUCCCUGAGCCCAUUGUUUAUAACAAUUCUGCCCUAAAAGUCCUAGCACUCUGGGCCUGUGAUAAGACUGGCAGCCUCAAAGAUCUCCAAAAGGUCUUCCAGGGCUUCCCUCUCUCCAUACUAAUCUUAUCAGCGGAUUGUUGGACACAACCUUGGUUUACUUUCCUUAACACGUUCUUUUAGGCUUUACAUGGCCAGGCUGAGAGUUUUCCAAAUCUUCACAUUCUGCUUUCCUUUUCGUUUCAAAUUCUGUCUUUAACUUACUUCUCUCUUGCAUUUUACAAUAAGCAGUUGAGAGAAAGCAUGCAGCACCUUGAAUACUUUGCUUAGAGAUUUUUUUUGCUAAAUAUCCUAGUUGAUUGCCCUUAAAUUCGGCAUUCCACAAAACAUUAGGACAUGGACACAAUUCAGCCAUCUUCUUUGCCACUUUGUAGCAAGGAUGGUCUUUCCUCCAGUUUCCAGCAAAAUGUCCCUCAUUUUCAUUUAAAACACCAUGUGAAUGAUCUUUUU
rnacentral:lncRNA from 1 species